rnacentral:rRNA from 1 species
UACGUAGGGCGCAAGCGUUGUCCGGAAUUAUUGGGCGUAAAGAGCUUGUAGGCGGUUUGUCGCGUCUGCUGUGAAAAUCCGGGGCUCGACCCCGGACUUGCAGUGGGUACGGGCAGACUGGAGUGUGGUAGGGGAGACUGGAAUUCCUGGUGUAGCGGUGAAAUGCGCAGAUAUCAGGAGGAACACCGGUGGCGAAGGCGGAUCUCUGGGCCAUUACUGACGCUGAGGAGCGAAAGCGUGGGGAGCGAACAGG